AGAAUCAACGCUGGCGGCGUGCCUAACACAUGCAAGUCGAACGCGGUUACCCCGCAAGGGGUGACUGAGUGGCGAACGGGUGAGUAACACGUGGGUGAUCUACCUUUGAGUGGGGGAUAACGUUCCGAAAGGAACGCUAAUACCGCAUGACGUUCUGGGUUUGAAGACCUGGAAACCAAAGUCGGGGACCGCAAGGCCUGACGCUUGGAGAGGAGCCCGCGCCUGAUUAGCUAGUUGGUGAGGUAAUGGCUCACCAAGGCGACGAUCAGU
rnacentral:rRNA from 1 species